UACGAAGGGGGCUAGCGUUGCUCGGAAUCACUGGGCGUAAAGCGCACGUAGGCGGAUUGUUAAGUCAGGGGUGAAAUCCUGGAGCUCAACUCCAGAACUGCCUUUGAUACUGGCGAUCUCGAGUCCGGGAGAGGUGAGUGGAACUGCGAGUGUAGAGGUGAAAUUCGUAGAUAUUCGCAAGAACACCAGUGGCGAAGGCGGCUCACUGGCCCGGUACUGACGCUGAGGAGCGGAAAGCAUGGGGAGCAAACAGGG
rnacentral:rRNA from 1 species